ensembl:lncRNA
GAGUGGCGUCUCCUGAAUCAGGUCACCUGGCCUCCCCUCCAUUGCUUUACCAAAGGACGGUGGCCCCCCUCUGGUUCACUGGGAUUUCUCACUUACAAAAUACAACAGGACCACGGUUCCUGUCAUCAGCCCUCACAAAAGAGACGACUACUCGCUUUGCUCUGGACAGAAAAUCAAGAGGGGGGAUAAUGGGUCACUGUUUUUUUUCUCUCUUUCUCUCUCUUUGUAAGCUUCAAACAAGUGCAAAUAUCACCUUGAUGUGAACUCUUCGGGUCUGUACUGAGUCUCCGGGACAAUCCCACCGCUAUACGCAACAAGGGGAAGGGACUUUGUGCGAACUCCCCGUGAGAUUGACAGUAUCGGGACACAAGGGCCCCCGGGAAACCAACUUUUUGUUUUUCCCCCCCCCCAACAAAACAAUCAAAAAACUCAACCCUGAAAAGGGGGGGGGGGGGGGGGGGGCGCGUCUUUUACAUCUGUGUGCUUUGUACGUCGUACCGUGGUGAACACAUCCUCAGCUUGUUCCUUUCAGAUUUGACCUCCCACUCACCUUCACGUCUGCGCUCGCGGCUACGGAGGACUGUAGCUCCAGCAACGUCUGCUGAACUAGAGGAAGAGGAAACUGUAGCGUGGACUCAAAACAAACAAUGUUGCACUGAUAAAUAUAUUUAAGAGGUUUAUGUGUUUAUAGCGUUCAUUUGCAAAAAAGAAAAAAACUGAAUUCAAAAACAGAAGAGCGUGUUCAUUUAUUUCAUCUUUUUUAUACAUAUAUAAAUAUAUAGUUUCAGAUUAUGUGAUAAUUCUGAAAUGUAAAAAUAUUGAGAUGUUUUCAUUAUUGAAAAAGGCAUAAAAGAUUUUUCAAUGGUAAUGUCCCUCUCCCUCUAUUUACAUGGCAUAUUAACGCUUCAUUUUGUACUGUCAUUCAAAUUUUGUGCCGAUUUUUUUUUUUACAAGAACAAGAAAAGAAGACUUUUAUUUUCAAUACUGCUUCUGUAAUUUGCUGUUGUAGGAAAAAAUGAAUAAACAGCAAGGCCUUAAAAGAAUGUUUGUCGUGACCCACAAACUAUGUUUCCUUUUCCAGUCAGAUCCACAUCACAGCCGUUAACCAGCAGCUCUUUGACACAACAUCUGUUUUUGCAUCAAAGUAAGGUGAAAGCACUAUUUCAGUCAGCAAGAUAGUAAUGUAAAACCAGAGCGACUUGUAGUCUUUGUCUCACAGCUGUUGCUUUCAAAAUUCACAAAUAAAAGGCAUCUUCAGAUGAAA